rnacentral:rRNA from 1 species
CGCGGGCGUAGGAAAUUUGAGAGGAGCUGUCCUUAGUACGAGAGGACCGGGAUGGACUGACCUCUGGUGUACCAGUUGUUCCGCCAGGAGCAUAGCUGGGUAGCUAAGUCGGGAAGGGAUAAACGCUGAAGGCAUCUAAGCGUGAAGCCCACCUCAAGAUAAGAUUUCCCAUAGAGUAAUCUAGUAAGAUCCCUUGAAGAACACAAGGUUGAUAGGUGAGAGGUGUAAGUGUGGUAACAUAUUUAGCUGACUCAUACUAAUAGAUCGAGGGCUUGACCA